CGACAUGCUCACUUUACUUGGACGUUUUCUAAUCGUCUUCUUUGGAAUAUGCUUUCAAGGUCUGUGAAGCCAAACUUGAUGCUGGGGAUUUAUUUUUGUCAGUGGAGUCAAAUGGUUGAAGCAGAAUUUGCCCGUCUUACAUCUGUUGACCUGAAAGGGUUCCUUUUUGCUGUGCUUGACCAUUAUGGAGAGGUUCGUGGAGCUGUACAAACUCAAGAGCGGCAUAGGAGGGCUAACUAGGCUCAUAAGAUGCUUCAAUGAUGAUAGCCCUACACAAAGGAAGAGGACAGAGGACCUCAUUUUCUAAAGGAAGAUCCCUCACACACUUUCAAGACUGUGAAGCCGACAGGUAUUGAAGACACGUUUUCUAAGAGGAUGAAAGUUGGCAUUGCGAUGGUGAAAGAAGAAGACAUCAUCGAUGUGUUGGUUGUCCUUGAGGCGGCAGUAAUCCGGUCUAAUCUGAGGGAUGUCUCAAGUGCCAUUUCCAUGCUGAUGGGCCUUCUUUUUGCCCUCAACAUAGACCAUCCAAAGGAACUUAAGGACAUCUUUGAAGUCAUUCAGAACAUCCUAAUGAACAUUGGUGGAAGGCAGUGCAUCUCACUAGUGCAUGGUCUAAGAAACAGACUCUUGCAGAAAGCCAUG
ensembl:lncRNA